CCACUCAGUUAAUUCAAAAGAAUUAAGUUUCAGAACUAGGCAGAAAGUCAAGACCUCAUUUUUAGCAAAGUAGAAGCGGCACAUUUUUAAACGGAGCCUGUUUGGAAUAACUUCGGAAUAGCAACCAUCACUGGGAAGUUAUUGAAUACCAUCAUCCCCUGGCCAGCAACUUGUGCCACACGCAGACCUCAUGACAGAGCGACGACAAAAAUGCCAGGGCUAAUUUCUACAGCGCGUUGCAUCAAUCCAGACAGCAAACCGAGUAAGGAAUGUGUCAGGGACUACGAGAACGUUCCCAUUCCUUGUGUUUCUAUGUGAAAUGCAUUUCCAGCCACACCCAGAAAGAACUUGUCUCUCCAGACACUACACAGUGGGCACCGAUUUGCUUCCUCAAGAUUUCAGAGCGCGCAUCUCAGGACUCAGGCUGCGCGUCGUAAAGUUUCCCUCGGCAACUGCUAAAAUUAUUCACAAGGCACUGCAGCAUGGCAGCAGCUAUCAGCUUUGGAAGGCUUUGGAAUGUGCCCUUCUACUAUUACAAAUACUGGCUGCAUCAGAUUGGGUCCUAACUGCUCAUCCAUCGAUUGGGUUAGGUAAGAGUACCCUUGUUUAAAGCCUCAGCAACUGCUGAGAAACCAGCAAAACAGAGGAACAACAUUAAAUCUCAUGGUGAGUCACUGUGAAUGUAGGUCAGCCCAGGCUCUGCCCUUUGCUGAGCUCUCAGAGGGUUGGCUCCAGGUUACCUGAAGGAGCCCCAGUCCCAACAGACCUCCCCCACAAAAAAAAAUUAUGUUUGUGUUCCUUUGCCAUACAGCACUGCCACUUCCAAGGGGGAGUUUAGAGCAGAUGAACACUUUUUUAGCAACUGAGCCACAACCAAGAGCUCAGAAAGGAUAGGAGAGAACACACAAACCAAAUCACCUUGGAAGUAGAAUGCACAACCUGUUUGUUUAACCCAAUUUGUGCCAGAUAACAUUAUAGAUCCACUCAAUCUCAGCCACUUGAGUCUCACAAUCAAUGUUCUGAGAGCAGAAGAGGGAGGGUGAUGUAUCUGCUCUGAUUCAUACCUGGAGGACACCCUCUCCUGUAACAGUCAGGAGUUCUACAUAAUGAGGUAGGCAGAGAGAACUGUGAAUUGAUUAUUAAUUAAGCUGCUUGAUCACCUCCUUGGAAAAUGUAUGACCAAAUGUUGAUGCACAGAAAGUAAUUUACAUAAUCAAGUUUGAAUUUGACUCAAAAUACAGUACAAAACUACCUUAAUAAAUGGAAAUUUUAAAAAAUCACACUCUGACUCUUGAUAC